UUGGGGCUACAGCUCAGUGGUAGAGCAUUUGCUAGCAUGUAUAAGGUACUGGGUUCAAUCCCCAGCAAUCAAA
rnacentral:tRNA from 1 species